rnacentral:rRNA from 1 species
CGUAAGGGGCGAGCGUUGUCCGGAAUUAUUGGGGCGUAAAAGAGUGCGUAGGCGGCAAAUUAAGUCAGAUGUGAAAACUAAGGGCUCAACCCAUAGAUUGCAUCUGAAAACUGAUAUGCUUGAGUCAAGGAGAGGAAAAGUGGAAUUCCUAGUGUAGCGGUGGAAUGCGUAGAUAUUAGGAGGAAUACCGGUGGCGAAGGCGACUUUUCUGGACUUGAACUGACGCUGAGGCACGAAAGCGUGGGGGAGCAAACAGGAUU